UACGAAGGGGGCUAGCGUUGCUCGGAAUCACUGGGCGUAAAGGGUGCGUAGGCGGGUCUUUAAGUCAGGGGUGAAAUCCUGGAGCUCAACUCCAGAACUGCCUUUGAUACUGAGGAUCUUGAGUUCGGGAGAGGUGAGUGGAACUGCGAGUGAAGAGGUGAAAUUCGUAGAUAUUCGCAAGAACACCAGUGGCGAAGGCGGCUCACUGGCCCGAUACUGACGCUGAGGUGCGAAAGCGUGGGGAGCAAACAGG
rnacentral:rRNA from 1 species